AUCUAGUUGACGAGUCCCAAAUAGGACGAAAUACGCGUUUUCCUGGAU
rnacentral:hammerhead_ribozyme from 1 species